rnacentral:rRNA from 1 species
CUCGUAGGCGGUUCGUCGCGUCCGGUGUGAAAGUCCAUCGCUUAACGGUGGAUCCGCGCCGGGUACGGGCGGGCUUGAGUGCGGUAGGGGAGACUGGAAUUCCCGGUGUAACAGUGGAAUGUGUAGAUAUCGGGAAGAACACCAAUGGCGAAGGCAGGUCUCUGGGCCGUCACUGACGCUGAGGAGCGAAAGCGUGGGGAGCGAACA